AGUCGUACGGUGUAGCAAUACACAGUGGGCGAACGGGAGAGUAAUGAAUCGCUNNNNNNCCCCGGACUCUGGGAUAGCUAUCCGAAAGGAUAGGUAAUACCAGAUGAGACCACGAACAGGCAUCUGUUUGUGCUCAAAGGUCCGCCGGUCUGGGAGCAGGCGAUUUCGUAUCAGCUAGUUGGUGAGGUAACGGCUCACCAAGGCGACGACGCGUAGCCGGACUGAGAGGUUGGCCGGCCUCAUUGGGACUGAGACACUGCCCAGACUCCUACGGGGGGCUGCAGUAACGAAUCUUCCGCAAUGCACGAAAGUGUGACGGAGCGACGCCGCGUGUGGGACGAAGUUCUUCGGAAUGUAAACCACUGUCANGGGUUAGAAAGUUCUGA
rnacentral:rRNA from 1 species